AACGAUCCUUGGCCCUGCAGGCAUGACCAAAUGACAGAGAAGCUUGCUUCUGCCUAGAGAGGCUUAAAAGUUCACUCACGGGAAUUAAUCCAGAGAACAGGAUCAAGGCUGAAGCAGUUUUCUUUCUUCUGUUUGUUCAGCUGGUGUUUGGGCCCCCUUAGGUUGCUCACAAGGCAACCUUAAUAUGUCACGGCACGUCACAGAUGCAGCAUGUAGGUGUUGUUCCCUCAAAACUAGG
rnacentral:lncRNA from 1 species